rnacentral:tRNA from 1 species
AAGAUUAACAAUAUAGACUUCUAAUCUAUUAAUAAUGAUUCAUUCAUUUAAUCUUU